rnacentral:lncRNA from 1 species
UUGGGAUUGAUUUUGGGAGUUUUGGUUCCAACAGUUUAGGAACUAGGGACCAAAAAAGGGCCCAAAUAAGCAUUAUUCUUGGUUUUCGCACUAUAACUUCAGUAUAAGUAAAUAGAAAUCAAUGAAAUUUAAACACAAGGUAUAUGACCACAAAAGGAAGGUUGGGAUUGAUUUUGGGAAUUUUGGUCCCAACAGUUUAGGAAUUAGGGGCCAAAAAAGGGCCCAAAUAAGCAUUAUUCUUGGUUUUCGCACAAUA